rnacentral:rRNA from 2 species
UUAAGUUAACAAGGGCGCAUGGUGAAUGCCUUGGCACUAGGAGCCGAUGAAGGACGGGACUAACACCGAUAUGCUUCGGGGAGCUGUACGUAAGCUAUGAUCCGGAGAUUUCCGAAUGGGGCAACCCAGCAGUUUUAAUCAACUGUUACCACUAGAUGAAUUCAUAGUCUAGUUGGAGGUAAACGCUGUGAACUGAAACAUCUCAUUAGCAGCAGGAAUAUAAAGAAAUUUCGAUUCCCUAAGUAGCGGCGAGCGAACGGGGAACAGCCCAAACCAAAGUGCUUGCACUUUGGGGUUGUAGGACUGAACAUUUGAGUUACCAAAGAACUUGAUAGUCGAAGGAUUUGGGAAAAUCCGCCAUAGAUGGUGAUAGCCCAGUAGAUUAAAUCAAAUUCUCUCAGUUCAGGAUCCUGAGUACGGCGGAACACGUGAAAUUCCGUCGGAAUCCGGGAGGACCAUCUCCCAAGGCUAAAUACUACCUAGUGACCGAUAGUGAACCAGUACCGUGAGGGAAAGGUGAAAAGCACCCCGGGAGGGGAGUGAAAUAGUUCCUGAAACCAUGUGCCUACAAUAAGUCAGAGCGCGUUAAUGCGUGAUGGCGUGCCUUUUGUAGAAUGAACCGGCGAGUUAUGAUCCCGUGCAAGGUUAAGACUAAAAAGUCGGAGCCGUAGCGAAAGCGAGUCUGAAAUGGGCGUUUUGAGUACGAGGUUAUAGACCCGAAACCAGGUGACCUAUCCAUGUCCAGGUUGAAGGUGCGGUAAAACGCACUGGAGGACCGAACCCGUGUAAGUUGAAAAUUGCUGGGAUGAGGUGUGGAUAGCGGUGAAAUUCCAAACGAACUUGGAGAUAGCUGGUUCUCUCCGAAAUAGCUUUAGGGCUAGCCUCGGAAUUAGGAUCAUGGAGGUAGAGCACUAUUUGGACUAGGGGCCCGUCUUGGGUUACUGAAUUCAGAUAAACUCCGAAUGCCAUUGAUUCAUAUCCGGGAGUCAGACGAUGAGUGAUAAGAUCCACCGUCGAAAGGGGAACAGCCCAGACCAUCAGUUAAGGUCCCUAAAUGUAUGCUAAGUGGAAAAGGAUGUGGAGUUGCAUAGACAACUAGGAUGUUGGCUCAGAAGCAGCCACCAUUUAAAGAGUGCGUAAUAGCUCACUAGUCGAGUGAUCCUGCGCCGAAAAUGUACCGGGGCUAAGCAUACUACCGAAACCAUGGAUGCGACCAUUAGGUCGCGUGAUAGGAGAGCGUUCUAAGGGCGGUGAAGCAAGAUCGUGAGGACUUGUGGAGCGCUUAGAAGUGAGAAUGCCGGUAUGAGUAGCGAAAGAUAGGUGAGAAUCCUAUCCACCGAAUGACUAAGGUUUCCUGGGGAAGGCUCGUCCUCCCAGGGUUAGUCGGGACCUAAGUCGAGGCCGAGAGGCGUAGACGAUGGAUAACAGGUUGAGAUUCCUGUACUAGUUAAGUGCGUUUGAGCAAUGGAGGGACGCAGGAGGCUAAGAUGUGCAUUCUGUUGGAUUAGAAUGUCCAAGCAGUAAGUUUUGUGAAGAGUCAAAUGCUUUUCACUUUAAGGACAAGCUGUGAUGGGGAGCGAAAUUUAGUAGCGAAGCGUCUGAUGUCACACUGCCGAGAAAAGCUUCUAGUGAGUACUUAACUACCCGUACCGCAAACCGACACAGGUAGUCGAGGAGAGAAUCCUAAGGUGAGCGAGUGAACUCUCGUUAAGGAACUCGGCAAAAUGACCCCGUAACUUCGGGAGAAGGGGUGCUGAUCGCAAGAUCAGCCGCAGUGAAUAGGCCCAGGCGACUGUUUAUCAAAAACACAGGUCUCUGCAAAAUCGUAAGAUGACGUAUAGGGGCUGACGCCUGCCCGGUGCUGGAAGGUUAAAAGGAUGGGUUAGCUUCGGCGAAGCUCAGAAUUGAAGCCCCAGUAAACGGCGGCCGUAACUAUAACGGUCCUAAGGUAGCGAAAUUCCUUGUCGGGUAAGUUCCGACCCGCACGAAAGGCGUAACGAUCUGGGCACUGUCUCAACGAGAGACUCGGUGAAAUUAUAUUGUCCGUGAAGAUGCGGACUACCCGCGACAGGACGGAAAGACCCCAUGGAGCUUUACUGUAGCUUGAUAUUGAGUGUUUGUACAGCUUGUACAGGAUAGGUAGGAGCCAUAGAAACCGGAACGCUAGUUUCGGUGGAGGCGUUGGUGGGAUACUACCCUCGCUGUAUGACCACUCUAACCCGCACCACUAAUCGUGGUGGGAGACAGUGUCAGGUGGGCAGUUUGACUGGGGCGGUCGCCUCCUAAAAAGUAACGGAGGCGCCCAAAGGUUCCCUCAGAAUGGUUGGAAAUCAUUCGCAGAGUGUAAAGGCACAAGGGAGCUUGACUGCGAGACAGACAGGUCGAGCAGGGACGAAAGUCGGGCUUAGUGAUCCGGUGGUACCGUAUGGAAGGGCCAUCGCUCAACGGAUAAAAGCUACCCUGGGGAUAACAGGCUUAUCUCCCCCAAGAGUCCACAUCGACGGGGAGGUUUGGCACCUCGAUGUCGGCUCAUCGCAUCCUGGGGCUGUAGUCGGUCCCAAGGGUUGGGCUGUUCGCCCAUUAAAGCGGUACGCGAGCUGGGUUCAGAACGUCGUGAGACAGUUCGGUCCCUAUCCGUCGCGGGCGUAGGAAAUUUGAGAGGACCUGUCCUUAGUACGAGAGGACCGGGAUGGACAUACCUCUGGUGUACCAGUUGUGCCGCCAGGCGCAUCGCUGGGUAGCUACGUAUGGAUGUGAUAAACGCUGAAAGCAUCUAAGUGUGAAACACACCUCGAGAUGAGAUUUCCCAUUCCUUUAUGGAAGUAAGACCCCUGAAAGAUGAUCAGGUAGAUAGGUUAGAAGUGGCAGUGCGGUGACGCAUGAAGCGGACUAAUACUAAUCGGUCGAGGACUUAACCAA